GGGGUGUUCUAUUUCAAAUGGAAGUUACAAGUAAAGGAGUUACGUGAAAUGACGUGGAAUGUGUCGACUUUGUUUUCUUUUGAGAUAUUAUCCUGUGUAGUCCAGGGCUACUACACAAUCUUGGUCUUUCCCGUAACCUCAUUGGUGCUGGGAGUAUAGUUAGGUGUGCACUAGCAGGCUAGCACAUGGGUAGUUAGGUAUGCACUAGCAGGCUAGCACAGGGGUAGUUAGGUGUGCACUAGCAGGCUAGCACAAGGGUAGUUAGCUGUGCACUAACAGGCUAGCACAGGGGUAGUUAGCUGUGCACUAGCAGGCUAGCACAGGGGUUUUUAUGUUUGAGCACCUUUAGUUUUUUCACUACAACUGAAGGUUUACUGUUUAGCUGAGACUGUAUGUGUUGAAAUAGUUGGAACUGUAUAGUUAAUAGAUACUGGGUUGCCAAAAUUUUCCUACCAGUCUUUGAUGGGAUUAGACAAUAGGUAUAAUGUAUAUUAAG